rnacentral:rRNA from 1 species
UACGGAGGGGGCUAGCGUUGUUCGGAAUUACUGGGCGUAAAGCGCGCGUAGGCGGACCUGCAAGUCGGGGGUGAAAGCCCGAGGCUCAACCUGCGGAACUGCCUUCGAUACUGCGGGUCUCGAGUCCGGGGAGAGGUGAGUGGAAUUCCUAGUGUAGAGGUGAAAUUCGUAGAUAUUAGGAAGAACACCAGUGGCGGCAAGG